GAGGGUAUAGCUCAGUGGUAGAGUGUGUGCCUAGCAUGCAUGAGGUCCUGGGUUCAAUCCCCAGCACCUCCA
rnacentral:tRNA from 1 species